ACAGGCUUCUGAGAGGUGGGUCAGAACAUUGGUACUCCACCCACCAUCCAAGUCACAUGACAGCCCCAGGAGCCACAUUGUUUUUUUCAACUAAAUAUUUUGUUUGGUGGAACAAUGCUUCACUUGGGUAACCGCUUCUAGGGAGCUCGGUAGGCCAGCACACUAUUUCAGGACAGCUAUUUCCCCCUGGAUUUUCAUUGUAACCAAAGAGCAAUCAAGGCCACGAUCCAGAUGUAGAACUCUCAGCGACCUCUCCAGCACCAUGUCUACCUGAGCACUGCCAUGCCCCCGACCGUGAUGACCAUGGACUAAAUCUCUGAAAGAGCCUUUCCUGUAGAAGCCUGGCCUGAAGACAACGCAGCUUCAGAAGAGUUGUAUCUGGAAAUGAACGCAUCGCUGCUAGACAGAUUCUCCACCUUUAAUUACAGAAGACUUGACACCCAUCAAGUAACGCAUAGAUCAACCUGCUGCCACGUUUCCUGGGUGUCUCUCAAGCCCUACCAAGGCUCUCCCUCCCUUCCCUUACUCUUCUGUCUGGUUGCUGUGGGAACUCAAAGGGAAUUGGAUGGAAUAAUAGGUAGAUUAGUGUAAGCUUACUCACACUUAUAUUAAUAGUGAGUAAUAAAGUGAAUACUUGUGAGCUAUUAUUUACAGACAAUUUACAUUAUUAUAAAUUCUUGUAUAUUGAUACAAAUUCAAGUUAUAUCUGUUAUGUUGAAUAUGCUCCUUUUUCUGUUUAAAAUAUUUUACACCUAUGCAAAAUUAUUUUGUCAUAUUAUAUGUGUGCAUGUUUCUAUCUUUGCAUAAGAUAUCUUGUAUAUUAAUACAAUUUUAGGGUAUAUUUAUUCUGUUGCACUAUACACUUCUACCUCUGAUAGAUACUUAUAAAUUGUUUACAUUUUGAGGUCAUUUGCUGUACAUUUGUUUAAAGUUGUUUAAUAUUUUAACAUAAAGCCUUAGUCUUUAAGCUAUAGGUAUUAAAAAUUAUAGGUCAAUAGUCACCCAUGUUUGUCAUACUUAGACUAAUCAGGUUCUUUAGAUACAUAGAGAUUGUAUUCCACAUAGGCAAUUCUUCAAACACUUCAAAAACUGUAGCUGUAAAAUACAGCAUUUAAAUAACUCAGGAUUCUGUUGAUGUGAGACACAUUUACUCCUGAUAGCACUGAUCUAUUCCCAAGAAAAUGUUGGGCACCAAAGAUACUCCAUUAGGAGUUUGUUUUCUUCUUGGCAAAACUGGCCCUUGGACAAAGAACUCCCCAUGACUUGACCACUGACAAAAUGCAUGGUGUCCAGAUUAGACAAGCAAGAUACAAAAAAAAAAAAAAGACUGCCAAACCUUUCCAAGACAGGGUAAGACAGUUUAAAAUUUCUCCUGCCUCUAAAAAUGGUCUGUCAGUUACUUUAAGCCUUAGCCAAGUUGUUUGCUCCAAUGCUACAAAUAAGACUUUGUGUGAUUGCCCAGGUAGCCAGAUGUCUCUGUCAUUUGUUACACCUUUUAAAAGUUGCUUGAUUGUGCUUCCUGUUUUUUCAAGUAAUAUUAUUUCCCUUCUCAGGUCUUUGAUGGGGUUAAAGCCUAAAUAAUCAUAGUUGCUUUCCUCUCAUGACUUAGCCAAGCCAUGUCUAAUACAAGACUUAAACUACUUAGGAUAGAAUAACUAUUAAAACAUUUAACAUAUGUUUCUUGCUUGAUAUUGUUCAUGCUGGUUAUAAAUCUAAUUUUUAUACUUAGUAUUUGUUCUUAUUGUAUGUACUUUUGUAUUAGGCUUAAAACUCUUUUGUUUAGACAAAAGGGGGAGGUACUGUGGGAACUCCUUCAGCCAAGAGCCUUUAAGAUAGUGGCCCACUUUGGGCAUGGUCACAUGUACUAGAUUUAUAGAUGUGAAAGCGUGCGUGGCCCCUUGGCAGCUGGAUUCAGUUCCCCACUCCUGUAGAGGACUGCUGGUCUGUGAUUAUA